AGCUGGUGGGCUCACUCAUUCUGCUGAAGGAUGGCUUCUGUCCUUGCUCUGCCAAUACCAAGUCCAGGAAAGCACCAAAGUUGCAGGUGGCUCUUCCAUAUUUUUCUUCACUGGCUUUUUCUGCAAUGGUAUUAACAAGGGUCAAGACUGAAAUUAUAUACUCAACUCUAAAGGAGUAAGAUUCCAUUUAAACCAACAAGUAGGGUUGAAGUUCUGGGCGCCCAGCACCCACCCUGCUGGGCCGCAUGCUCCUGUCCUCAAGGUCCGACCCCAAGCACCACGUGGACUCCCUGAGCUUUCCUGGAACAGUCUGUUUCGUGAGACUGGUUCUUCCUGUACACCAUCACUGAAGAUGAAUAGCAACUCCGGUACUAGCAGAUACCAGAAUUUCACAUGGACAGACUCCCUUUCGCUUCUGUGCUUACUCCAGGAUUCAGCAAAAGUCCCCGAGACAAGACAAAACUGGGAUGGUUUUUCAGUCAGAGUGUCAACCAAACAGAUCAGAGGUCUGGUUAGAUAAAUGCAAAUCAACGAAUAAGAAAUGAAAACAACACUCGCAUCCAGUAAGUCCUCCGCAAACACAGGCUGGAAUAACUUGUUACAGGGCUUGGAUUUACAUGAAAAGAGUUUCAGAGUACCAGCUAGCAUAAGGUCAGUGGUAUUUCUUUACUCACCUGAGUUUUCAUUACCAUGAAUGAAUGGAAAAGGAGUGGUUGAUUAUAAUUCCAUAAUAUUUUAGGUUCACUAGAAAUUGUCACACACAGCAUCUUAUUAACAGGAAUCCGAUGUCUUUACACAGCAAUUAUGUGAGACUGUCGUUCA